rnacentral:rRNA from 1 species
UGGCGACUUGCCAUGGGCGCAGCCUGAUCCGCCUGCCGCGUGAGUGAUGAAGGCCUUAGGGUUGUAAAGCUCUUUAACCCGGGAAGAUAAUGACGGUACCGGAAGAAUAAGCCCCGGCUAACUCCGUGCCAGCAGCCGCGGUAUCAAUACGUGCCAGCAGCCGCGGUA